UGGGGAAUUGUUCGCAAUGGGCGCAAGCCUGACGACGCAACGCCGCGUGGAGGAUGAAGGUCUUCGGAUUGUAAACUCCUGUUGACCGGGAAGAAUGGGCCCUGACCUAACACGUCGGGGCAAUGACGGUACCGGUUGAGGACGCCACGGCUAACUCUGUGCCAGCAGCCGCGGUAAUACAGAGGUGGCAAGCGUUGUUCGGAAUUACUGGGCGUAAAGGGCGCGUAGGCGGCCUUCUAAGUCGAACGUGAAAUCCCCGGGCUCAACCCGGGAACUGCGUCCGAGACUGGGAGGCUUGAAUCCGGGAGAGGGAUGUGGAAUUCCAGGUGUAGCGGUGAAAUGCGUAGAUAUCUGGAGGAACAUCGGUGGCGAAGGCGGCAUCCUGGACCGGUAUUGACGCUGAGGCGCGAAAGCCAGGGGAGCAAA
rnacentral:rRNA from 1 species